GCAGAGCUAAAAUGUAAUUUUAUCAUGUUAAAUAAAUGUAUAUUUUAACAUGUAAAUCAGACCUGCAAAUGCAACAAAAUUAAAAAAUAAAUGACCCACAAAAAUUGUCUGUAGCUGUAUUCAGAUAACAUGUGAGUGACCACAUAUGUAAGGUCUCUGCAAAUUACAUCCCGCAGACACGGCUUCAUCCCUGGUAGUAAGAGAGCUGAGAAACCACUCUUUCCCGGAGAGAGACACAGGUGGCAAAAUAAAAGAAAAACUCUUACCAUCUCUUGGUAUGUAUUAUUAUUAGCUAGAAAGCAUACAGUUAUUCAUAAGGCUCUUAUAAAAGCAAGCAAACGAGACAAAACAAAAGGAUCUGCAGCACAAGUUCUGAAAAUGCAGCCAACACCAGAGUGGCCCAGGAGGUGAGCACGGGGCUCUGAAGCCAGAUUUGCCAGAGUUCCAAUCACAGCCCCCAGCCAUCAGAGAGACAGACAGAGACAGACAAACAGGCAGAGCCGCAGUGCACACGGUCCGUGUGUCGGAGAGGCCGCCAGGAGACUCACCGCAGCAAUGCUACGUGAAUGCAGAGGGCUGGAGGUGAUGUGACUACUCACUUGCUCGGCUAACAGCUGCC
rnacentral:lncRNA from 10 species